rnacentral:rRNA from 1 species
AUGAACGCUGGCGGCGUGCCUAAUACAUGCCAGUCGAGCGAACAGACGAGGAGCUUGCUCCUCUGACGUUAGCGGCGGACGGGUGAGUAACACGUGGAUAACCUACCUAUAAGACUGGGAUAACUUCGGGAAACCGGAGCUAAUACCGGAUAAUAUAUUGAACCGCAUGGUUCAAUAGUGAAAGACGGUUUUGCUGUCACCUAUAGAUGGAUCCGCGCCGCAUUAGCUAGUUGGUAAGGUAACGGCUUACCAAGGCAACGAUGCGUAGCCGACCUGAGAGGGUGAUCAGCCACACUGGAACUGAGACACGGUCCAGACUCCUACGGGAGGCAGCAGUAGGGAAUCUUCCGCAAUGGGCGAAAGCCUGACGGAGCAACGCCGCGUGAGUGAUGAAGGUCUUCGGAUCGUAAAACUCUGUUAUUAGGGAAGAACAAAUGUGUAAGUAACUAUGCACGUCUUGACGGUACCUAAUCAGAAAGCCACGGCUAACUACGUG